UGCAGUCGAGCGGACAGAUGGGAGCUUGCUCCCUGAUGUUAGCGGCGGACGGGUGAGUAACACGUGGGUAACCUGCCUGUAAGACUGGGAUAACUCCGGGAAACCGGGGCUAAUACCGGAUGGUUGUUUGAACCGCAUGGUUCAGACAUAAAAGGUGGCUUCGGCUACCACUUACAGAUGGACCCGCGGCGCAUUAGCUAGUUGGUGAGGUAACGGCUCACCAAGGCGACGAUGCGUAGCCGACCUGAGAGGGUGAUCGGCCACACUGGGACUGAGACACGGCCCAGACUCCUACGGGAGGCAGCAGUAGGGAAUCUUCCGCAAUGGACGAAAGUCUGACGGAGCAACGCCGCGUGAGUGAUGAAGGUUUUCGGAUCGUAAAGCUCUGUUGUUAGGGAAGAACAAGUGCCGUUCAAAUAGGGCGGCACCUUGACGGUACCUAACCAGAAAGCCACGGCUAACUACGUGCCAGCAGCCGCGGUAAUACGUAGGUGGCAAGCGUUGUCCGGAAUUAUUGGGCGUAAAGGGCUCGCAGGCGGUUUCUUAAGUCUGAUGUGAAAGCCCCCGGCUCAACCGGGGAGGGUCAUUGGAAACUGGGGAACUUGAGUGCAGAAGAGGAGAGUGGAAUUCCACGUGUAGCGGUGAAAUGCGUAGAGAUGUGGAGGAACACCAGUGGCGAAGGCGACUCUCUGGUCUGUAACUGACGCUGAGGAGCGAAAGC
rnacentral:rRNA from 1 species